rnacentral:rRNA from 1 species
UGGGGAAUAUUGCACAAUGGGCGAAAGCCUGAUGCAGCAACGCCGCGUGAAGGAAGAAGGAUUUCGGUUCGUAAACUUCUAUCGAUGGGGAAGAAAUUUUGACGGUACCCAAGUAAGAAGCCCCGGCUAACUACGUGCCAGCAGCCGCGGUAAUACGUAGGGGGCAAGCGUUAUUCGGAUUUAUUGGGUGUAAAGGGUGAGUAGGCGGUUUAUUAGGUCGAAUGUGAAAUGCUAUUGCUUAACAAUGGCACUGCAUUCGAAACCGGUAGACUUGAGUACAGGAGAGGUAAGCGGAAUUCCUAGUGUAGCGGUGAAAUGCGUAGAUAUUAGGAAGAACACCGGUGGCGAAGGCGGCUUACUGGACUGAAACUGACGCUGAAUCACGAAAGCGUGGGGAGCAAACA